GCUCUGCUAGCUUAAAGGUAAAGCGUUCCUCUCCUAAAGGAAAGACUCCGGGUUCGAGUCCCGGGUAGAGUU
rfam:Candida maltosa Xu316 contig545_scaffold8, whole genome shotgun sequence.